UACGUAGGUGGCAAGCGUUGUCCGGAUUUAUUGGGCGUAAAGGGCGCGCAGGCGGUUCGUUUAGUCCGAGGUGAAAUCUCCCGGCUCAACUGGAAGGGGUCUUUGGAUACUGGCGGACUUGAGGUGAGCAGAGGUGAGCGGAAUUCUGGGUGUAGUGGUGAAAUGCGUAGAUAUCCAGAGGAACACCAGUGGCGAAGGCGGCUCACUGGGCUCCACCUGACGCUGAGGCGCGAAAGCGUGGGGAGCGAACCGG
rnacentral:rRNA from 1 species